rnacentral:miRNA from 2 species
UCUUGAGAACAUGAUGAAUCG